AUGCAAUUGGGCACCGAGCACAGAAGCUGCCUAAGGUGUGAUUGCUUUGGGCUCAGAAAGAGAAUGAAAGGAUCCUAUAAAGCACCCAUACUGCAGCAGAGCCAGACUGCAAAGAUCGGGACCUCCCGUUGCAGAUACAGUGUGAAGACCCCGGGAAAGACAGCAUCAACCCAGAAGACUGCACAGCUCAGACUAGUGCAGCAGGUGGAAAAGGGCUGCAAGGAGGUAAAAUGUGUGCUGGGUUCAUGUGCUCAGUGGCAGCACCAGGGAUAGAUGCAGGUGGAGCUGAAGGAGAUGGUGUGAACCUGGGAUGCCAGAACAUAGCUGAUGUUUUGGAGUCGAUCCAGUUGAACCUUUAUCAGCUCCUGAGCUCCCCAAUGGGACGUGAUGUAGGUACAUGCCAAUUCCUGGGCCUGUAACCCAGAAUUGCUCCAUCCAAGGCCUUUCUUGUGCUAAUACCACAAGUGACUUUGGUAGUUUAACUUCAUUUCAGCCUGAAGGACUUCUGAGAUAGGAAGCAUGGAGUGGUGGGUGGGGGUGUUUAAAGGCAUGUUUAAAUAUAGCUUUUCAUACCUGGGCAAUCCCAGAAAGCCAUAUAGCAGGUGAUAACCUCAGAUGCCAAACAUUCUACUUGGCUUAUUAAAGCACCCAGCGCAUCAGAGCACUGCGCUUUUUCCUGCCCUCCCUGACAGUUAAUCUGCAGGCACAUCAGGGCAGGGAGGAGCCAGGGCCAUUUCUCUAAGCUGUGGUUAUUGCCUAGCCAGUGCCCGGGUACUCCUGGUGCUGCUGGAAGAAGAGCAGAGGAUACCUUAAUGGAUAUUUGACACAGUCCCUUCAUUUAGGAGGAGUGCACACAUGAGCUUUCCCCCUGGGUGCUGUCAGGAACAGACCAAAGCUCCCAGUUCACACUCUAGGCCUUCUAACCUUUUCCCCUGAACAACACCCACCAGGACAAAGUGUCCCUUGCCACCUUGGGCCUCCAGAUGCUUUCACAUGAAUGCUGUAAGAACUUUACACAGGUCAAAGACAUGCAUGAUGUGACCUAUCCCAAACUCAUGCACAGUGUAUGAGGCAAUGCAGCCCAAAGGAGACACUCAUCCAAGGCUCUGGGCUGGGUGACAAGAUGCCUAGGUUUGAUUUUCAAGCCUGUCAUUUCAUGGCAGGCAACUUCUGGCAAGCCACAUUAGCAUCUUUCUUGCUGUGCUACUGAUGAAAGAAUUAAACAAUGGUACCACAUUUUGUAGGGAUCUGCCAAUAAGAGAAAGCAUUGUGUAAGAGUUCAGCCUUGUCAGUGAAUAAAGAAUUCAACAUAAUUCA
rnacentral:lncRNA from 1 species